rnacentral:rRNA from 1 species
CCUACGGGUGGCAGCAGUGAGGAAUAUUGGUCAAUGGUCGAGAGUCUGACCCAGCCAAGCCGCGUGAAGGAUGAAUGCCCUCUGGAUUGUAAACUUCUUUUAUAUGGGCAUAAAACAUGGUAUGCAUCCCCUCAUGUGUGUACCUUAUGAAUAAGCAUCGGCUAACUCCGUGCCAGCAGCCGCGGUAAUACGGAGGAUCCGAGCGUUAUCCGGAUUUAUUGGGUUUAACGGGUGCGGAGGCGGGUUGUUAAGUCCGGGGUGAAAGGCAGGGGCUCAACCGCGGGACUGCAGUUGAAACUGGCAGUCUGGAGUAGGGGAGAGGUAGGCGGAAUGCGUGGUGGAGCGGUGAAAUGCAUAGAUAUCGCGAAGAACUCCGAUUGCGAAGGCAGCACGCUGGA